rnacentral:rRNA from 1 species
CAGCCGCCGCGGUAAUACGUAGGUGGCAAGCGUUAUCCGGAAUUAUUGGGCGUAAAGCGCGCGUAGGCGGUUUUUUAAGUCUGAUGUGAAAGCCCACGGCUCAACCGUGGAGGGUCAUUGGAAACUGGAAAACUUGAGUGCAGAAGAGGAAAGUGGAAUUCCAUGUGUAGCGGUGAAAUGCGCAGAGAUAUGGAGGAACACCAGUGGCGAAGGCGACUUUCUGGUCUGUAACUGACGCUGAUGUGCGAAAGCGUGGGGAUCAAACAGGAUUAGAUACCCCGGUAGUCCCUGUCUCUUAUAC